UACGAGGGGCGAGCGUUGUUCGGAAUUAUUGGGCGUAAAGAGCUCGUAGGCGGUUUGUCGCGUCUGCUGUGAAAACCCGAGGCUCAACCUCGGGCCUGCAGUGGGUACGGGCAGACUAGAGUGCGGUAGGGGAGAUUGGAAUUCCUGGUGUAGCGGUGGAAUGCGCAGAUAUCAGGAGGAACACCAAUGGCGAAGGCAGAUCUCUGGGCCGAUACUGGCGCUGAGGCGCGAAAGCGUGGGUAGCAAACGGG
rnacentral:rRNA from 1 species